UGCUGCUACAGCAACUUCACCCACAGCUACCAUGACUUUGAUCCCCGUCUUCAUCUGGACACUGAUCCUGUGGACUCAAGAAUGCAGAGGUCAAGCCACAGUAACUCAGACUCCUGCAGUGAAAUCUGCUCUUCCAGGAGAAACAGUCACCAUCAACUGUCGAAUCAGUCAGGCAGUGUACAAGAGCUCAUCUGGUGACUACUUACACUGGUAUCAGCAGAAACCUGGAGAAGCUCCUAAACUCCUGAUUAAAUUUGUAAAUCAGUUACAGUCAGGUUUUCCAGCUCAUUUCAGUGGCAGUGGAUCUGGAUCUGAUUUCACUCUGACCAUCAGUGGAGUCCAGACUGAAGAUGCAGGAGAUUACUACUGUCAGAGUUACCAUGAUAUCACUGGCUACUGGUUCACACAGUGUUAUAGAGUCAUACAAAAACCUCCCUCAGUCAGAUUGUAGAGAGACUGCACUGCUGCAGCUGGGAGCGACUGCAGGUGCUGAGUUGGAGGAUGUGAUACGACACAAUGACACUCUGUGGAGGAGAGGAACCACACCAUACUAACUCAAAACUCACAUUACAAAUUUCUCAAUUACCAUCACACCACACUACACGCAGUCGAUCAUGUCCACAACCUAUGUAGUUUUCUACAAAGUCAUGGUGCUAACUGUAACAGCAGAACACAUCACAGCUUUACAAAAACAAAUCAGUAUCUGAUCAUCAAACUCAUUCCUGUUCUAUCUGAUAUCACUCCUCACAUUUUAACUCCAUCCAUCUGAGCUUAUCUGCUGUCUCAGCAUCUGCUUUCCUAUACACUGCUAUUCCUAUUCCACCCCACAUACGCGCACGCACACACACACACACACACACACACACACACUCACACACACAUGCACACCAUCUAAACUAUCCUGGUCACACAGACUGGUUUUCAUACAAUUCUGUUUCUGUGCAUAUACACAUUUUCCUGUGUCACAGCAAAAUCCCAUCAUUCAACAGCCUUCACUCAUCCCACCUCCAGAAAACCCACUAUUACAUUACCACAACAUUCCUACCUAAUGGUUAGGUUUCAUGUCUUUCUGACAUUGUCUUACUAAUAAGUGCUAGUUUUGUGCUGAUGUUGGGACACACUGGCUCACUGUGGUGUUUGACAUUAACUCCAGCAUAUCAGAAAAUAUGAAUGAUAAAAUUAAUUCUGCAAUACAUCUAAAGACCUUAGAUAGGUUUAAUUUAUGAACAAAGACUACAUAAAUGAAGUUAAUUCGUGGAAAACAUUCUCAGCUUUUGGGCUAGAAAGAAAUCUGCCUCACUUCUUCAUAAAAUUCUUUUUCUUACAACUUAAAAGUCAUUUUUCUUACAAAUGUUGGUGGUGCUGUUUUUCAUGGGUCCUCAAAAGUACAAACUCAUCCACUUUAAGAAGCAAAUUUACUAGAAGCUAAUAAGCCAAGAUGGAGGCCAAAAUUUGAACAUUAUUUUAAAGGCUUAUUUCAGUAAGAGAGGAAAGGCUUAUCCCCACUGUCACAUUUACACUAGCUGGCCCUGCUGUGAUGUAAUAUAGAUAUAAAUUUGUGUUUUACUCUUGAAGAUAUUUGGCCUGUUCAGAGGAGGAGAUUUGAGAUGCCACCUCUCAUCUACUUACAUUAUGUUUCUAACAUGUUUACAGCAUCAGUUCACACCAAUCAGUUCACUACCUGCUGGUUGCAGUGGAGCUCCAACAGUCCCGUACCUGAGUGGUGGACUUUCCUGGUUUUGGUGUUUCAGGGCCUGAUGCAUGUCUGUUAGGCAUGGGUCAGGCACAGUGUCCUUUGUUCUGUUGGCUGUGUAUGUGCCCCACUGCUCGUGUCGAUGGUUAGGGAGUUUACUCUGCUCUGGUCCUUCAGCUCUCUGUUUAGUGCUGCUGUUCUCUGCUGUCUGAACACCUCAUGGCUGCAGCUGCAUGGUGUGGAGUUUGUGCUGGUGUUGGUCAGUGACACUGUGACCAGCUAAAUCAUGGAGAUUUGAUCACAGCAACAGAGGACUCUUGUAACGUAAUGUACAAAUGUAA